rnacentral:rRNA from 1 species
GUUAUAUGGUCAAGUGAAGAAGCGCAUACGGUGGAUGCCUUGGCAGUCAGAGGCGAUGAAAGACGUGGUAGCCUGCGAAAAGCUUCGGGGAGUCGGCAAACAGACUUUGAUCCGGAGAUGUCUGAAUGGGGGAACCCAGCCAUCAUAAGAUGGUUAUCUUGUACUGAAUACAUAGGUGCAAGAAGCGAACCAGGGGAACUGAAACAUCUAAGUACCCUGAGGAAAAGAAAUCAACCGAGAUUCCCUUAGUAGUGGCGAGCGAACGGGGACUAGCCCUUAAGUGGCUUUGAGAUUAGCGGAACGCUCUGGAAAGUGCGGCCAUAGUGGGUGAUAGCCCUGUACGCGAAAAUCUCUUAGUCAUGAAAUCGAGUAGGACGGAGCACGAGAAACUUUGUCUGAAUAUGGGGGGACCAUCCUCCAAGGCUAAAUACUACUGACUGACCGAUAGUGAACUAGUACCGUGAGGGAAAGGCGAAAAGAACCCCGGAGAGGGGAGUGAAAUAGAUCCUGAAACCGUAUGCGUACAAGCAGUGGGAGCCCACUUUGUUGGGUGACUGCGUACCUUUUGUAUAAUGGGUCAGCGACUUAUUUUCAGUGGCGAGCUUAACCGAAUAGGGGAGGCGUAGCGAAAGCGAGUCUUAAUAGGGCGUCUAGUCGCUGGGAAUAGACCCGAAACCGGGCGAUCUAUCCAUGGGCAGGUUGAAGGUUGGGUAACACUAACUGGAGGACCGAACCGACUACCGUUGAAAAGUUAGCGGAUGACCUGUGGAUCGGAGUGAAAGGCUAAUCAAGCUCGGAGAUAGCUGGUUCUCCUCGAAAGCUAUUUAGGUAGCGCCUCAUGUAUCACUGUAGGGGGUAGAGCACUGUUUCGGCUAGGGGGUCAUCCCGACUUACCAAACCGAUGCAAACUCCGAAUACCUACAAGUGCCGAGCAUGGGAGACACACGGCGGGUGCUAACGUCCGUCGUGAAAAGGGAAACAACCCAGACCGUCAGCUAAGGUCCCAAAGUUAUGGUUAAGUGGGAAACGAUGUGGGAAGGCUUAGACAGCUAGGAGGUUGGCUUAGAAGCAGCCACCCUUUAAAGAAAGCGUAAUAGCUCACUAGUCGAGUCGGCCUGCGCGGAAGAUGUAACGGGGCUCAAACCAUACACCGAAGCUACGGGUAUCACGUAAGUGAUGCGGUAGAGGAGCGUUCUGUAAGCCUGUGAAGGUGAGUUGAGAAGCUUGCUGGAGGUAUCAGAAGUGCGAAUGCUGACAUGAGUAACGAUAAUGGGUGUGAAAAACACCCACGCCGAAAGACCAAGGUUUCCUGCGCAACGUUAAUCGACGCAGGGUUAGUCGGUCCCUAAGGCGAGGCUGAAAAGCGUAGUCGAUGGAAAACAGGUUAAUAUUCCUGUACUUCUGGUUAUUGCGAUGGAGGGACGGAGAAGGCUAGGCCAGCUUGGCGUUGGUUGUCCAAGUUUAAGGUGGUAGGCUGGAAUCUUAGGUAAAUCCGGGAUUCUAAGGCCGAGAGCUGAUGACGAGUUA